rnacentral:rRNA from 1 species
GACGAACGCUGGCGGCGUGCUUAACACAUGCAAGUCGAACGGAAAGGCCCUGCUUGCAGGGUACUCGAGUGGCGAACGGGUGAGUAACACGUGGGUGAUCUGCCCUGCACUUCGGGAUAAGCUUGGGAAACUGGGUCUAAUACCGGAUAGGAACCAUCUUUAGUGUGGUGGUUGGAAAGUUUUUUCGGUGUAGGAUGAGCUCGCGGCCUAUCAGCUUGUUGGUGGGGUAAUGGCCUACCAAGGCGGCGACGGGUAGCCGGCCUGAGAGGGUGUACGGCCACAUUGGGACUGAGAUACGGCCCAGACUCCUACGGGAGGCAGCAGUGGGGAAUAUUGCACAAUGGGCGCAAGCCUGAUGCAGCGACGCCGCGUGGGGGAUGAAGGCCUUCGGGUUGUAAACUCCUUUCGCUAGGGACGAAGCUUUUUGUGACGGUACCUAGAUGAGAAGCACCGGCGAACUACGU